UCCGUGCCAGCAGCCGCGGUAAUACGGAGGAUCCGAGCGUAUCCGGAUUUAUUGGGUUAAAGGGUGCGUAGGUUGCAUAUAAGUCCAGUGGUUAAAUACGAUAGCUCAACUAUCGCGGUGCCAUUGAAAACUGUUAAGCUAGAGAUUGGUUGCAGCAGGCGGAAUGUGUAGUGUAGCGGUGAAAUGCUUAGAUAUUACACAGAACACCGAUUGCGAAGGCAGCUUGCUAAGCCAUAUCUGACACUGAUGCACGAAAGCGUGGGGAUCAAACAGGAUUAGAUACCCUGGUAGUCCACGCUGUAAACGAUGAUAACUCGUUGUAGGCGAUACACAGUCUGUAACCAAGCGAAAGCGAUAAGUUAUCCACCUGGGGAGUACGACCGCAAGGUUGAAACUCAAAGGAAUUGACGGGGGCCCGCACAAGCGGAGGAACAUGUGGUUUAAUUCGAUGAUACGCGAGGAACCUUACCCGGGCUUGAAAGUUAGUGACGAGAGUGGAAACACUUUUUCCCUUCGGGGCACGAAACUAGGUGCUGCAUGGUUGUCGUCAGCUCGUGCCGUGAGGUGUCGGGUUAAGUCCCAUAACGAGCGCAACCCCUAUCGAUAGUUACCAGCGAUUAGAGUCGGGGACUCUAUCGAGACUGCCGGUGUAAACCGUGAGGAAGGUGGGGAUGACGUCAAAUCAGCACGGCCCUUACGUCCGGGGCGACACACGUGUUACAAUGGAUGGUACAGAGGGUAGCUACCUAGUGAUAGGAUGCCAAUCUCAAAAGCCAUUCUCAGUUCGGAUUGGAGGCUGGAACUCGCCUCCAUGAAGUUGGAUUCGCUAGUAAUCGCAUAUCAGCCAUGAUGCGGUGAAUACGUUCCCGGGCCUUGUACACACCGCCCGUCAAGCCAUGGAAGUUUGGGGUGCCUGAAGUGCGUGACCGCAAGGAGCGUCCUAGGGCAAAACAGAUAACUGGGGCU
rnacentral:rRNA from 1 species